UGGUCAAGUUAUUAAGGGUGCAGGGCGGAUGCCUUGGCACUAGGAGCCGAUGAAGGACGUGAUAAGCUGCGAUAAGCUUCGGGGAGUUGCACGUAAACUUUGAUCCGAAGAUUUCCGAAUGAGGAAACUCACUUAGAGUAAUGUCUAAGUAUCAUUAAGUGAAUACAUAGCUUAAUGAGGGGAACUCAGGGAACUGAAACAUCUAAGUACCUGAAGGAAGAGAAAGAAAUUCGAUUCCGUAAGUAGCGGCGAGCGAACGCGGAUUAGCCCAAACUAAUAAAGUUUUCUUUAUUGGGGUUGCGGACAUAUCAUAACGAAGAGGUAUCGUAAUUGAAGAGGUUUGGAAAGACCCACCACAGAAGGUAAUAGUCCUGUAUGUUAAACGAGAAGACUUUAGAUAUGAUCCAGAGUACCACGGGACACGUGAAACCCUGUGGGAAGCAGGAGGGACCACCCUCCAAGGCUAAAUACUACCUAGUGACCGAUAGCGUAUAGUACCGUGAGGGAAAGGUGAAAAGAACCCCGGGAGGGGAGUGAAAUAGAACCUGAAACCCUGCACUUACAAGCUGUGGAAGCACAUUUCUUGUGUGACCGCGUACUUUUUGUAGAACGGGCCAACGAGUUACGUUAAGUAGCAAGGUUAAGCAC
rnacentral:rRNA from 1 species